rnacentral:rRNA from 1 species
AGCAACGCUGGACGGAAUGCUCCACACAUGCAAGUCGAGACGGCAGCACGGACUUCGGUCCUGCGGCGAGUGGCGAACCUGUGAGUAACAUAUCGGAACGUAUCCAAUAAUGGACGAUAACUAAUCGAAAGGUUGGCUAAUACCGCAUACGCCCUACGGGGGAAAGCUAGGGAUCUUCGGACCUGGCGUUAAUGGAGCGGCCGAUAUCUGAUUAGCUAGUUGGUGGGGUAACCCACCAAGGCGACGAUCAGUAGCUGCUGUCUGAGAGGACGACCAGCCACACUGGCAACUGAGACACGGGUCCAGACUCCUACGGGAGGCAGCAGUGGGGAAUACUGGACAAUGGGCGCAAGCCUGAUCCAGCCAUUCCGCGUGAGUGAAGAAGGCCUUCGGGUUGUAACUCUCUAUCGCAAGCGGAAGAAUAACUUAUCCUCUAACAUAGGAUAGGGUUGACGGUACCUUGAUAAGAAGCACCGGCUAACUACGUGCCAGCAGCCGCGGUAAUACGUACUAUGCGAGCGUUAAUCGGAAUUACUGGGCGUAAAGCGUGCGCAGGCUGUAGUGUAAGUCAGAUGUGAAAUCCCUGAGCUCAACUUAGGAACUGCGUUUGAAACUACAAGACUAGAAUAUGUCAGAGGGGGGUAGAAUUCCACGUGUAGCAGUGAAAUGCGUAGAGAUGUGGAGGAAUACCAAUGGCGAAGGCAGCAGCUGGGAUAAUAUUGACGCUCAUGCACGAAAGCGUGGGGAGCAAACAGGAUUAGAUACCCUGGUAGUCCACGCCCUAAACGAUGUCUACUAGUUGUUGGUGGAGUAGUAUCCAUGAGUAACGCAGCUAACGCGUGAAGUAGACCGCCUGGGGAGUACGGUCGCAAGAUUAACUCUCAAAUGAAUUGACGGCCUCUCGCACAAGCGGUGGAGCAUGUGGAUUAAUUCGAUGCAACGCGAGUAACCUUACCUGGCCUUGACAUGUACCGAAUUUACCAGAGAUGGUUUAGUGCUCGACUGAGAACGGUAACACAGACGCUGCACUGGGCUGUCGUCAUGCUCGUGUCGUGAGAUGUUGGGUUAAGUCCCGCAACGAGCGCAACCCUUGCCAGACUUCAUCAUUUAGUUGGGCACUUUAAUGGGACUGCCGGUGACAAACCGGAGGAAGGUGUAGAUGACGUCAAGUCCUCAUGGCCCUUAUGGCCAGGGCUUCACACGUAAUACAAUGGUCGGUACACGAGGGUCGCCAACCCGCGAGCUGAGCCAAUCCCAGAAAGCCGAUCGUAGUCCGGAUUGUAGUCUGCAACUCGACUACAUGAAGUCGGAAUCGCUAGUAAUCGCGGAUCAGCAUGUCGCGGUGAAUACGUUCUAGGCCUUGUACACACCGCCCGUCGACACCAUGGGAGUCGGUGAUACCAGAAGUAGGUAGUCUAACCUUCGGCAACACGCUUACCACGGUAGUAUUCAUGACCCGGGAC